rnacentral:rRNA from 1 species
ACACGGCCCAGACUCCUACGGGAGGCAGCAGUAGGGAAUUUUCGGCAAUGGGGGGAACCCUGACCGAGCAACGCCGCGUGAAGGAAGAAGGUAUUCGUAUCGUAAACUUCUGUGAUAGAGGAAGAAAGGCUUAUAUAGGAAAUGAUAUAAGAGAUGACGGUACUCUAAGAGGAAGCCACGGCUAACUACGUGCCAGCAGCCGCGGUAAUACGUAGGUGGCAAGCGUUAUCCGGAAUUAUUGGGCGUAAAGAGGGAGCAGGCGGAAAUCAGGGUCUAAGUUGAAAGGCUAGUGCUUAACAUUAGGAAAGGCUUAGAAACCGGAUAUCUAGAGUUCUGAAGAGGAUCGUGGAAUUCCAUGAGUAGCGGUGAAAUGCGUAGAUAUAUGGAGGAACACCAGUGGCGAAGGCGACGAUCUGGGCAGAAACUGACGCUGAGUCCCGAAAGCGUGGGGAGCAAAUAGGAUUAGAUACCCUAGUAGUCCACGCCGUAAACGAUGAGUACUAAGUGUUGGUGGUGAGACAUCAGUGCUGUAGUAAACACAAUAAGUACUCCGCCUGAGU